CAAUAGCGUAUAUUUAAGUUGUUGCAGUUAAAAAGCUCGUAGUUGGAUUUCGGUUAAGAGCGACCGGUCCGCCGUUUGGUGUGCACUGGUUGGUUUUAACUUCCUGUAGAGGACGUGCUCUGGGUUUAACGACCUGGACUCGGAGUCUACGUGGUUACUUUGAAAAAACUAGAGUGUUCAAAGCGGGCUUACGCUUGAAUAUUUCAGCAUGGAAUAACACUAUAGGACUCCUGUCCUAUUUCGUUGGUCUCGGGACGGGAGUAAUGAUUAAGAGGAACAGUUGGGGGCAUUCGUAUUUCAUUGUCAGAGGUGAAAUUCUUGGAUUUAUGAAAGACGAACUUCUGCGAAAGCAUUUGCCAAGGAUGUUUUCAUUA
rnacentral:rRNA from 1 species